rnacentral:lncRNA from 1 species
GCCAGAUGUCCUCGUGCAGUGCACCCCCUGCACAAUGUAUGUGUGACACCACUAAUGGGUGUUGUUCACAGGGAGGGAUCAUUACAGGGUGGGCAAGCCAGGAAAUAGGAAGAAUUGACUGGGUAAGGAAAGAAGACACAGCUGCAAGGAAGGCCAGAGGAAUGUCUAGUGUCAAAUCAGGUUUGACCAAGACUCAUCUCUCACUGCUGAGUUUCUCCACACCUGAAUUCACACAUCUCCCACAUCAUGACAAUUACCUCCAUGGUAACCCCUGAUGACAUCAUAAACAUAAUGUGAUAGCAGGAGAAACAAGAGCUCCUGAGACCCUGUUGGAUGCAAAUGCCCUCGAUGAGCUAAGGGACUUGCAGGAACAACGGGAAUUUUGUCUUGAGAUUUUAGCAGAAAAGUAAUUCUUGAAAUCUAUUCUCGUGUUUCAAUAUUUAUUGGAUUUCAAAGCUUCUUGCUGCCCAGGAGCCUGUGAAUAUGGUCAAAGGGCCAUGACAUUUCUAAAAUGGCACUACAGCACCUGCACCCGAAAGCAAACUAAGGGAACCAAUGGAUUUCAGCCUAAAGACACAAAUCUUUAACAACAGUUAGAUUUUACAGGUAUUUUUGACGGUCAAGAGAGGGGCUCUCGGAAUGGCUCCGUGAUUUUAGAGAAAACAAUGUGUUCCUGGAAAGCCUUUUUCUCUUUCUACCUUUUCUUACCCAAAAUAAAUGCCUAAAGCCUCAAGCCAAGGUCAACAGCUAUUAAUAACUUUGUGGACACCAGCCAAGAAAAGUGGACACACCACGGGUAUGUGACAUGUACGCCACACAAACUUCACAGCGAAGAAUAGAAGCGCUUUGUGGUAAGAAAGUGGUGAGAUGUGAGACGAAUGCUAACAUCCACUUUUCACAGGCAUUUUUCUCUGCAAACAGCCCCAGCUUUGGGAUUUAAAAUUUUAUUCUAAAUGCUAUUAGGUACAUCAGGGCUCUCAAAAUAUGGAUUUCAAGUUGGAGACAUCAAAGUGCAUGAUUUACUAAAACCGCUGUGGCUUUCCCCCCACCUCUUCCUUCACAAGAUGCUAUUGUAAAAUUCAGGCUGCUUUAAUCUCUGUGAUUGAAAAAAAAAAAAAGAAAAGAAAAAAGAAAUGAAAAGUGCAGCUUGAAAAGGAACUGAACUCACAAUCUGGGAGAAAAAAAUCUUUCAACCAGAGGAAAGGAUGGCCUUCAGAAUCAUCUGGAGCGCUUCAUGCUCUAUCAGGUUCUCCAAGGCCCUACCAGCUUCCUCUGUUAGUUUUCACCUGAGUCAUCGAAGAGCAUUCUUCAAAGUAGAAGGAUUAUCAGUGACAGCAUAAAGUCUAUUCAAGACCAGAGCCCAGAAAGGUGCAAAACUUCAGAGAGGCAUCAGAAUCAAAGCUGAACAGUUGGAUUCAAAUUGCAGAGGAAGAAAAGGAACAUCUCGGAGAAUCGCGAGGGAUCUGACUGUCGAUAUUGCUUUCAAUCAGCUUGAGCCCCUGCUGCAUUUUAAGGACUCAUUGUCAGAUAGCUCAGCGGCCAUCAAAGGUAAAAUGCUAUAUCAAGCACCUCAGUAAACACAUGUUUUUAAGUUCAGUUUGUAUCCAACUUGAUCCCUGGAACUUCUGGCAGUCAAUAAUUUACGGAGGACAAAAUAUAUCAAUUCCAAAUGAAAGCUAAGGAGUAACACACAUGCAGGACUG